rnacentral:rRNA from 1 species
AGUGAACGCUGGCGGUAGGCCUAACACAUGCAAGUCGAACGGCAGCACAGUAAGAGCUUGCUCUUACGGGUGGCGAGUGGCGGACGGGUGAGGAAUACAUCGGAAUCUACUUUUUCGUGGGGGAUAACGUAGGGAAACUUACGCUAAUACCGCAUACGACCUACGGGUGAAAGCAGGGGAUCUUCGGACCUUGCGCGAUUGAAUGAGCCGAUGUCGGAUUAGCUAGUUGGCGGGGUAAAGGCCCACCAAGGCGACGAUCCGUAGCUGGUCUGAGAGGAUGGAUCGCCAAACCGGAACUGAGGCACGGUCCAGGACCCUAAGGGAGGCAGGAGGGGGGAAUAUUGGACAAAGGGGGGAAACCUGAUCCAGCCAUACCGCGUGGGUGAAGAAGGCCUUCGGGUUGUAAAGCCCUUUUGUUGGGAAAGAAAAGCAGCAGGUUAAUACCCCGCUGUUCUGACGGUACCCAAAGAAUAAGCACCGGCUAACUUCGUG